GCUCGUCCUCCUAAAGGUCCUGCAAUAGAAAGCCGUUCAUUUGCAAAUAGCAACACAGAGCCAGCACAGCUAACAUGUCGGACAAGAAACAGACAGUGGACCUGGGCCUACUGGAGGAGGAUGAUGAGUUCGAAGAAUUCCCAGCCGAGGACUGGACGGGGCUGGAUGAAGAUGAAGACGCUCAUGUUUGGGAGGACAACUGGGAUGAUGACAACGUAGAGGAUGAUUUUUCCAAUCAACUGAGAGCUGAGCUGGAAAAACAUGGUUACAAGAUGGAGACGUCCUAGCGGCUAACGAAGCCUUUCAGUACUGGAUGACAUUCGAUAUGGACAUUUAUAUUUGAAUAUUACUGGUUGACCACACGCCACUGCAAACUAACUGAGGAUGGUAUUUUGUUUUGUGGGGGUUUUGUUUUUCUAAGAAAAAUUGAUGGAAGUAAAAUGUUUGGAGAAAACCGUUUCUGAGUGUUUUGCUUACGGACUGUACUGCAUUUAGGAGAGUUCAACUUAAUAACUUAAUAAUAUUACAUUGGAUGUAGAGUCUAGUCGUAUUUUUUUCUUUUUGAAAAAGUUAUAUUGGUAAAUUAAUCAUAUUUGCUCCCAUACCUUCAAUGGGAAUAUUAAACUGAUGCCAAAAUGAUCAUUACCAGAAAUGUAGCCUGCAUGCUUCCAUUUCAUCUUGUCCUUGUGUUGCUCUUAUUCUUUGCAUAAACUAAAUGCACCUUUGCA